rnacentral:rRNA from 1 species
AGAGUUUCGAGUCCGUCGGCUACGAGGACGUAACGCUGGCGGCGUGCUUAACACGAUGCAAGUCGACGGAAAGGCCCUGCUUUUGUGGGGUGCUCGAGUGGCGAACGGGUGAGUAACACGUGAGUAACCUGCCCUUGACUUUGGGAUAACUUCAGGAAACUGGGGCGAAUACCGGAUAGGAGCUCCUGCUGCAUGGUGGGGGUUGGAAAGUUCGGCGGUUGGGGAUGGACUCGCGGCUUAUCAGCUUGUUGGUGGGGUAGUGGCUUACCAAGGCUUUGACGGGUAGCCGGCCUGAGAGGGUGACCGGCCACAUUGGGACUGAGAUACGGCCCAGACUCCUACGGGAGGGCAGCAGUGGGGAAUAUUGCACAAUGGGCGGAAGCCUGAUGCAGCAACGCCGCGUGCGGGAUGACGGCCUUCGGGUUGUAAACCGCUUUCGCCUGUGACGAAGCGUGAGUGACGGUAAUGGGUAAAGAAGCACCGGCUAACUACGUG